UAGUCCACGCCGUAAACGAUGGACACUAGUUGUUGGGAUUUAUCUCAGUGACUAAGCGAAAGUGAUAAGUGUCCCACCUGGGGAGUACGGUCGCAAGAUUGAAACUCAAAGGAAUUGACGGGGGCCCGCACAAGCGGUGGAGCAUGUGGUUUAAUUCGAUGAUACGCGAGGAACCUUACCAGGGCUUAAAUGUAGAUUGCAUUAGUCAGAGAUGACUAUUUCUUCGGACUAUCUACAAGGUGCUGCAUGGUUGUCGUCAGCUCGUGCCGUGAGGUGUCAGGUUAAGUCCUAUAACGAGCGCAACCCCUAUUUUAGUUGCCAUCAUUUAGUUGGGCACUCUAGAGAAACUGCCGGUGACAAACCGGAGGAAGGUAAGGAUGACGUCAAGUCAGCAUGCCCCUUACGCUCUGGGCUACACACGUGCUACAAUGGUCGUGACAAAGAGUUGCUAGUCUGCGAAGGCAAGCCAAUCUCAUAAACGCGGCCUUAGUUCGGAUUG
rnacentral:rRNA from 1 species